CCUACGGGCGGCAGCAGUGGGGAAUCUUCCGCAAUGGGCGAAAGCCUGACGGAGCAACGCCGCGUGAUCGAAUGAAGGCCUUCGGGUUGUAAACUUCUUUUGUCAGGGAAGAGUAGAAGACGGUACCUGACGAAUAAGCCACGGCUAACUACGUGCCAGCAGCCGCGGUAAUACGUAGGUGGCAAGCGUUGUCCGGAUUUACUGGGUGUAAAGGGCGUGUAGCCGGGUUGACAAGUCAGAUGUGAAAUCCUGCGGCUUAACCGCAGAACUGCAGUUGAAACUGUUGAUCUUGAGUACUGGAGAGGCAGAUGGAAUUCCUAGUGUAGCGGUGAAAUGCGUAGAUAUUAGGAGGAACACCAGUGGCGAGGCGGUCUGCUGGACAGCAACUGACGGUGAGGCGCGAAAGCGUGGGGAGCAAACAGGAUUAGAUACCCUAGUAGUC
rnacentral:rRNA from 1 species